CCUACGGGAGGCAGCAGUGAGGAAUAUUGGUCAAUGGACGAGAGUCUGAACCAGCCAAGUAGCGUGAAGGAUGACUGCCCUAUGGGUUGUAAACUUCUUUUAUAUGGGAAUAAAACGUUCCACUUGUGGGAUUUUGUAUGUACCAUAUGAAUAAGGAUCGGCUAACUCCGUGCCAGCAGCCGCGGUAAUACGGAGGAUCCGAGCGUUAUCCGGAUUUAUUGGGUUUAAAGGGAGCGUAGGUGGAUUGUUAAGUCAGUUGUGAAAGUUUGCGGCUCAACCGUAAAAUUGCAGUUGAAACUGGCAGUCUUGAGUACAGUAGAGGUGGGCGGAAUUCGUGGUGUAGCGGUGAAAUGCUUAGAUAUCACGAAGAACUCCGAUUGCGAAGGCAGUUCACUGGACUGCAACUGACACUGAGGCUCGAAAGUGUGGGUAUCAAACAGGAUUAGAUACCCCUGUAGUC
rnacentral:rRNA from 1 species